UGCGGGGCUGGAAGAGGAAAUCUAGGCUACAGGGCAUGAAAGAAGGCAACUAACACCCCACAGAUCAGACUAAUGCUUCAGGAGGCAGGAACGAAGAGGAACUUCAGCGGGGGGCUGGAUUGCAGGCACUGUCGCUGAAGGGGAAAAGGGGCCUUGGAGCCAUUUUUCAGGACCAGGUGGUGAAUACCCGACAGUACUUGGAACAUGUGAAAGACUCCACAACAGGAAUGCAAGGUAGAGUGGUGAAGCUAUUCACCAACCAUUUCCGAGUGACCUCUCACCCUGAACCCCUCACGUAUAAGUACAACAUUGAUUACAUGCCAGAGGUUGAAGAUGGAAAAGUUCGUACAGAUUUGCUCUGCCAGCAUAAACAUGUAAUUGGAGAGUGUCCCACAUUUGAUGGGAACUCUUUAUUACUGCCUCAUAAACUACAAAAGCAGGUGUAUCUCUGUGUUUGUUAGUAAAUCUUAAUAAUAUUCACUGCGGUUGCCACGAAAUCCAUUCUUCCAAUUUCUAGAAUUUUGAAGAUGAUGGAUUUGAAGCAAGUUGGUCGCAACUAUUACAACGAGAAUGAGGCCACGGAGUUCCUCA